rfam:Physcomitrella patens subsp. patens PHYPAscaffold_116 genomic scaffold, whole genome shotgun sequence.
UGUGGGAGAUGAUGAGACUUAUUCGCCUUGCCCAAAUGUAUCCUUGCGAUACAUCAUGUGGGUUGCGACUCACGAUUUGCACGUCAGUCUGAUCCCUUA